CCUUAGUAUGUUCUGGGCCGCACGCGCGCUACACUGACGGAGCCAGCGAGUACUUCCUUGGUCGAAAGGCUCGGGUAAUCUUGUUAAACUCCGUCGUGCUGGGGAUAGAGCAUUGCAAUUAUUGCUCUUCAACGAGGAAUCCCUAGUAAGCGCAAGUCAUCAGCUUGCGUUGAUUACGUCCCUGCCCUUUGUACACACCGCCCGUCGCUACUACCGAUCGAAUGGCUCAGUGAGGCGUCCGGACUGGCCCAGGGAGGUGGGCAACUACCCCCCCGGGCCGGGAAGCUCUCCAAACUCGGUCAUUUAGAGGAAGUAAAAGUCGUAACAAGGUCUCCGUAGGUGAACCUGCGA
rnacentral:rRNA from 1 species